GGGCUUUCCUUCCAGCCCUUCUGUGGUUCUCAAUGGCCCAUGGGUGUUCAGGCCUUAACGCUGGGGAGUGCCGCCAGCAGUGGAGGUGUUCGCGAAGGUUCUACUGGCUUGAGGGAAGGGCUGUGGUAAUGGGAACCCGAGACCUGGAGGCCAGCAGAUAAGAGCUCUCCGCUGGGGAGCAGAGUCAGAAGGGGCUGAGCACAGAAGGCUUGACUCUCAGCCAGAGCUCAACAAGGGGCAGCUGCUGCGGUAGUCCGUGGGCAGGCCUAGGUUAAGUGCGUUCUUUUCACUCAAAAGCCCUUCUCUGGAAAGGAGGCUCAGAAGGCACACUUGGGGCAGAGGGGAACCCCCGCCUUCCCCUUUUACAGAACUUCCUCAUCCUGCAGAUCAGUCCAGCCAGGAAGUCAGGCUGGGUAGAGAGCUGGGUGCCUGGGAGUACCAUGGGUUUUGCCCCCAUUGCUGGCAGCAGUCAUCAGUCACAGCAGAGAAAACAUGAAGGUGACAGCCAGUGGUUUCAGAAAGGCAAGAAGCUCUUCCUCUGCAUUCACCUUUCUUUUCCCUUUUCACUGAAAGCGAAGAUCAACAUACGGGUAAGCCCCUCUCGUACAUUCGAGGAAGAACACAAGUCAGGACUCAGAGCUACUGAAUUUCCACUCCCACUCCCACGCCAGACACACGCUGCGAAAUACUGUCUGGUUUUUUAUGAUAAGGUAGCUGUAGUUAGCCUGAAAAUGCUUCCUCAGGAAUGGCCUUCAUCAGAGAUCUCUUCAUACUCAGUAUGAGGACAUGAGGAAGAAUAUGCUACGUGUGAAAAUACACCUUGGCGUUCAACUCUGUGGGUUAAGAAGGGGUUCCUGUGAUGGCAAGCUUUUAGGUUAUUGAGCAGCAGAUUGGAUACUUCUGUUUUUCAACAACAUAGGUUUCCAUGUAAUAUGAAAAACAGCUGUUGCAAAUUUCUAGAAGUGCUGAAUCCAGUCUAAUAAAUGCCUAGCUGCACCUGCAAGAAAGUAAGGGAAUGCUGAAGGGUCAAAAAUGGAGGAAGAACUAUGACCAGUCUGGGUUGCCCCUGGGGCUGCUGGAGGUAAGGUUGGGGAGGACAGUUGGCCAGGCUGGGAAUCCAAUAUGGGAAUAUUAAUUCACUUUAGAAUUUAUUAAAUCAAGGAGCUUAGGCUUUCAUGACCAGCAGGCACACAAGAAGGGGCUUGGGCCCCAGAAGAGUAGGGAGUUGGAACUGAGACCCUGGUGUAAGGAUGAACUGAAAACCAUUGCCUGCUUACACAGGGAGAUGACAGGGAAGCUUGCUUGAGAAAAAGAAAAAAGCUCCCCUUAAAAUUAAUUUAUAAUAAUUAAUGUGCCCUCUCGUGGAUAUGAUAUUUAAAUUUAUAUUACUAGAGUGGUCUAAGACAUGUCCCACCAAGAAAUUAAUAUAAAAUGCUGUCACACACCAAUAAUAUCCUUGGGAACCUGGCUGAAAUAAAAAUAAAACCUUUCUGGGAGGCCGUACAUCCAUCCUAGGCCUCCUAGCAUACCCUCAUAUGAAGUCCCAACUAAAGAUUAACUUAUAAUUAAAAACUACCAUACAGUCCCGGCAUGGUGGCUCAUACCUGUAAUCCCAGCACUUUGGGAGGCUGAGGUGGGUGAAUCACCAGAGGUCAGGAGUUCGAGACCAGCCUUGCCAACAUGGUGAAAUCCCAUCUCUAUUAAAAAUACAAAACUUAGCCGGGCGUGGUGGUGCCCAGCUACUUGGGAGGCUGAGACAGGAGAAUUGCUUGAAUCUGGGAGGCAGAGGUUGCAGUGAGCUGAGAUCGUGCUGCCACACUCCAGUCUGGGAGGCAAAACCAAAAAAAAAAAAAAACCCCUAAAACCAAUAGUUAGUGAACAAAACAAAAAACAAUAUGAAACAGCCAACAACUUCAGAUAAAAUAUAAUUAUCAGGUAGAUUAAAAAUAAGCAUGUUUAAAAUGAGAAGUCAUAAAAGAAGUAUAAUAAUAAUAACAUAACAGAAUAAGACAUCAAAAAGAUUAGACUGAGCUACAUAGGAAAUCAAAUAUAACUCAGAAAUUUAAAAAUUAUCAUUUAAAGCUUACUAUGUUAAACCAAAGAUUAUAUAUUACCAAAUAAAUAACUAAUGAAUGGAAA